UUGCGAGAAAAAAAAUCAUCUCACGGAGAGAGAGAGAGAGAGAGGUGAAAGAGAUGACGGAGGACUCGUUCCCGUUGAUCCCAACGGUGGCCGCCGCCGCCGGUAUCUCUUCCACCAUCUCCUUAUGGUACGGGAUCGUGUUCGGUUCAGCGUCUGCGAGUAAAUAGCUCGGCGAUUGGAUCGGGGCUCUCCCUCGCGGCGGUUCCGCCUCCGCUUCUCCUUCCCAUCCAUGAUUUAGGGGACCCAGCUGGAUGUGGGGGGUUUGUCCACGGAGAAACACAAUGUGUGGAGAGCGGCCUUCCAUUCGAACUGGAUUAUCGGCAGCUGACCGUGUCACAGAAUCUGGCCGUGAGGUAACAUAUAGAAUUAUAGAAAGUGAUGAAUCAAUCAAUUAGGGCCUUGAUUAGGAGGCGUACUUAGAUUGUGAAUUGAAUGUCUGACCUCUUGGUAAUGGUAAAACAGAUAUUUUCUGUAUGUGUUAUAUAUGCUUUAGAUUCACGACUGAUAAUGAAUGUACGUGGUAGGUUGCAAUUUAUAAAAUCGUUUUAGAUGGGUACGUCUUUGAAUCUAUGGCUGAAUUUAGUAACUUGGACUCUCCACUAAAUUGGUGGACUGGAACAGUGUUAUUGGAGUUGUCCUAAAAGUUUUAUUAUGAUU